UGCCCUAUGGCUGAGUUGGUUACAGCGUCCGACUGUUAUUAUUCAUAUAGUUGCAAUAUCGGAAGGUCGAGAGUUCGAGCCUCUCUGGGGCAG